AGAUGACUCAGCUCGGAAUGCAGACCAGUAAUCUGAAGACGCUGUGGAUGCUCGAUAUGUAUAGUCGAGUGCCGUGGAUCGGUGAAGUAACAAGUGGGCAAGACCUGAGCCGUAUAUAAACCCUGAGAUUCAUCCAGUAAAAAGAGCGAGUCCCCAGAUGAUCAGACGCAAUGACUCUUGAUUUUGAGUUGAAAGGCGCGCAUUUGGCUGACUCCCUUGCCGAUGGGCCCGCAGGGCAUUAGCUCAGUUGUGAGGUAAGGCUCACCAAGGUCGGACAAUGCGUAGCCGGCCUGAGAGGGUGAUCCCGGCACACUUGGGACUGAGAAUCAGGCCCAGAAGUCUUAAGGGAGGCAGCCGCUAGGCGAAUUUUCGCAAACGGCGAAUACUCUGACGGAGCCAACCCCGUGAAAAAGAAGGUUUCUGGUCUGAAUGUCUGUGGGAGGGACAAAGAGCCCUGCCCAUAAGGCGCCUGGGAGACGAUACACCCAAGAAACACUCGCUAACUAAAGACGACGACCCGUUAUAAAAAAAGCUCCUAUAAGACUGUUAAAAUGGCCAGACAGCCUCCAAGAUCUUCUGUAGACUCGAAGAACAUGCCACAUCCACAGCAUAUAUUGCUAAAGAUAUUGGCCGAAGCAAGAAUAGAAUUUAAAGACACACUAAGUUGCAGCCCAAUUGGGCACACGAAAACUGAAUCCUUCCACAACUAUCAGCAGACAAUACUAUCGUUCAGCUACUCCCAACACGCGUACCAAAUUAUAGUAUAGU
rnacentral:rRNA from 1 species